GACGAACGCUGGCGGCGUGCUUAACACAUGCGAGUCGAACGGAAAGGCCGUGCCUUUGUUGGGUGCUCGAGUGGCGAACGGGUGAGUAACACGUGAGUAACCUGCCCUUUACUUUGGGAUAACUUCUGGAAACUAGGGCUAAUACCGGAUAGUAUCUCCUACUGCAUGGUGGUGGUUGGAAAGUUUCGGCGGCUGCGGAAGGACUGGCGGCUUAUGAGCUUGUUGGUGGGGUUGUGGAUUACCCAGGCGUUGACGGCUAGCCGGCCUGGGAGGGUGACCGGCCACAUUGGGACUGAGAAAGGGCCAAGACGCAAACGGGAGGAAGGAGUGGGGAAUAGUGCAAAAUGGGCGGAAGCCGGAUGCAGCAACGCCGGGUGCGGGAUGACGGCCUUCGGGUUGGAAAGCGCUUUCGCCUGUGAAGAAGAGUGAGUGACGGUAAUGGGUAAAGAAGCAACGGCUAACUACGUG
rnacentral:rRNA from 1 species